UCCAACUACAGUAGUCAUCAUCAUUCACUUGAUUGCAUUACUAUUAAUAUGCAUAGCAGCAAAUAUCUUGUUUUUACUUGUGAUUUUGCUUCAUAGAUUCUGCAAACAUUAGCCUGUCAGUUUAAUCUCAGAAACAGCUUUUUAUUUAUUAUUUAUUAUUUAUUUUUUUGACUUGCUAAAAGCAUAAACACAGCCCUACAGGGCAGGUAACCACUUAUCUAAUGUUUGUUCAAAUAAGUAAUUAUUAUAUAUGUAGCCAUCGUUUUUUCUGUUCCCUUCAUUAUAUAUAUCGUGAAAGUCGAGUGUUAUUUAACGGUUCAUCGAGUGACUCCGUUAGUGG
rnacentral:misc_RNA from 1 species